CUUUGCGAGAUACUAUUUAAGUAAAAUUUACUUAAAAGACUAACAAGGGGAUUACAAUGAUUCUUGACUGUGGCCAUUUUGAAUUUUCAGUUCAACGGGUGACAAGACUGCAUUUUUCUGAACUGCUAUCAACAAAAGGCACUGAAAAGGUGUUUGACAUCAGCAUUGAGCUCAUUUAUGACUCUGGUGUUAUGGAUCAACUGGGGAUUCUGUUAACUUGGGAUGUGCGCGUGCAUGUGAGCUAUUUUACAUCCCGUUCCAACAGAUUCGUCAAAUGCGACUGCAAAGCUGUAAUGAAAAGACGUUGGAGUUUGACAUCAUAA
ensembl:lncRNA